ensembl:lncRNA
UUUUUUUUUUGAGACACAGUCUCUGUCACCCAAGCUGGAGUGCAGUGGUGAGAUCUCAGCUCACUGCAACCUCUGCCUCCCAGGUUCUAAGCGAUUCUCCUGCCUCAGCCUCUGGAGUAGCUGAUUACAGGCGCGUACCACCAUGCCCGGCGUAUUUUGUUUUUAUUUUUUGAGAUGGAGUCUUGCUCUGUCGCCCAGGCUGGAGUGUAGUGGCUUGAUCUCAGCUCACUGCAACCUCUGCCUCCUGGGUUCAAGCAACUCUACCUUAGUUGCCCAAGUAGCUGGGACUACAGGUGUACGCCACCACACCCGGCUACUUUUUGUAUUUUUAGUAGAGAUGGGGUUUCACCGUGUUAGCCAGGUUGGUCUUGAACUCCUGACCUCGUGAUCAGCCUGCCUCGGCCUCCCAAAGUGCUGGGAUUACAGGUAUGAGCCACCGCACCUAGCCCAUAUUUUGCAUUUUUUAGUAGAGAUGGGGUUUCACCAUGUUGGCAAGGCUGGUCUCAAAACUCCUGACCUCAGGUAUCUACUGGCCUCAGUCUCCCAAAGUUCUGGGAUUACAGGCAUGAACCACUGCACUCUGCAGGGUACUUUUUUUUUUAGACAGGAUUGCAGCUUUCAUCAGAUUCCUAAAAAUUGGGCCCAGAACUCAAAAGUUAAGAACCAUUGCGUUAGAGGAACUGAGAAACUAAACCAGAGUAAGAGAUAAACAGGGCAACAUUAAAAUGAACAUUUUAUAUUAAAAGUUUAAGAUUGAUGAUAUACUAGCCCAUGUAUAGAAUUUAAUUGCAAACUGAACUUUAACAGGCAAAGAUAUUAAUACAUGCAAACGUGAAAUCAUUUCAGUGAGUUCAAAACUGGAUGGAGGAUGCUAAUUGUAUUAAGCUGUAUUAAAUUUUUUAAAAAUUAUACUUUAAGUUCUGUGCAUAAAUUACACUUUAAGAUACAUGUGCAGAACACACAGGUUACCUAGGUAUAUGUGUGCCAUGGUGGUUUGCUGCACCCAUCAACCCGUCAUCUACAUUAGGUAUUUUUCCUGCCAUCCCUCCCACCUCCGACAGGCCCCGGUGUGUGAUGUUCCUCUUGUGUCCCAAUGCUCUCGUUUCAAGAAAUGUGAGAUGUCUUUCAUAGCCACUUGUUUUCCCAGUUUCUUAGGAAGCCACUCUCCAAAUAAAUCAUGCAUAUAUAUAACAAUAACUAGCACAAUUUACAUGUUCUCACACCUACCAUAAUUUUCCUCAAAAGCAAACAUAUUUAAAAAUCAUAAGGGCCGAGCAUGGUGGCUCACACCUGCAAUUACAGCGCUUUGGGAGGCUGAGGUGGGCCAGGAGUUCAAGACCAGCCUCGGCAACAUGGUGAAAUCCCAUUCCUACCAAAAAUACAAAAAAUUAGCCGGGUCUGGUUGUGGCAUGCACCUGUGGUCCCAGCUACUCAGGGGGCCAAGGUCGGAGGAUCACUUGAACCAGGGAAGUGGAGGUUGCAGUGAGCAGAGACUGCAUCACUACACUCCAGUUUGGGUGACAGAGCCAGGCCCAUCUCAAAAAAACAAAAACAGAAACAAACAAAAACAAAACCACCACAAGAAAACAAAUGUAGUGACUAUCAUCAAACUAUCAAUCAAGGUGAUAGUUCUUUCACCUCCAUUUGAAAUUAUUUAAAUUCUUUCCACAUUUUACCUAAAAUACAGUCAGAUAAACAUUUCACAUGGAACCAUAUCCAAAGUAGUAGCACCAUAAUUUAGGUAUGCUAAAAAUGGAUUUUCAACACAAGACAAAUCUAAUGGCUUUCAUAUUAUACAAUAUGUUUUCUAACUUCUGGGUGUCUAUAGUACUAAUUCACUUGAUGCUCAAUUUAAAACACAAUGGAACUUUCUUAAAAAAGAAAAAAGCGUAUCACUUUUUGAUGAAUUCAUUUAAUGAGAUUUUUCUAAAAUGGAGUGGUACAAAUGUUAAGCCCACAUAUGGAGGACUCUUGCAAGUGUACUCGUUUGCUCCAUUUAACACUUUUGCAAGGUGGCUUCCGAGUGCGCAUUAGUUGGCCAGUAUAACUAGUGAGAUAAAACAAACGUCAAUGUGCGUGCCAGGUUCACUACACUGUCAGAAUACUCAGUUUUAGCCCUAGCACUGACAACAUUACUUUGGGCCUCUAUUUUCUUUUCUAAAAAGAACUGGGUGAAUUAUCUUAAAGAACUUCCUCCAAGUCCAAAUUUUAAAAAAUGCUAAUAUAUUGUCCAAGUAAAAGAUAUCCCAAUAAACAUCUUUGACAUGGAACAAAUUAAUCAAGUGACACGUAACCACUGACAAACGGAACUGCCAUUAUCAAGAAUUCUAAUAAAGAUUAUUGAUUACCACAUGCCCAAUCCCAGUUUCUGCAUUUCUUUAAAAUUCACUUGUCAUCUGGGAACUAAGACAUCCCUGUACACAAAGUGUGACUCUACUGACGUUUCAUCAAUUUCCACAAUAAAAACAUGUUUUAAAAAAAAAAGUUAACAAAUGGGGGAAAAGCCAAGACCCAGGAUAAAGGAUUUAAUCCAGUAUUUAUUCCACACUCAUGAUGGUUCUCUGUAAUCAGAAUACAAGUCAUAAGAACAAUCUAUCAAAUUUGCUGAUAGUCUUAAAUAAUGCAGCACAGCAUUACUUUUAAUACUCCUCUGUUCUAGAUUAAGUUUAAAAACUCAAACAGCAAUCUCCAUUAUCAAUAAAAAAAGUUUGGAAUUUUAAAAAAAGGACACUAUAUCAAGCUGUUUCAUAAUUUAAGGAUUUUCCAUUUAUAAAAAUGCUUUGGAAGCUUGACGCUUGAAUCUGUUUCUCUACUCAUUUGCCCCACCCUCUCCCAAUUACAUGUUAGUAUAGGGUUCUGCAAGAAUGCUAGGCUUUAGACAUUAAUUUUUUUCUUUAAUAUAGUACUUUAAAAUCUGAGAAAGAAUUCAAGAAAAAAGGAUUACAUGUCAUGUAUUUUUUCAAAUAAAAAAGGAAAACUAAGUGAAUAAAUUUUAGGCAUACUAAGUGUCCCUUUGAGGUAGAAUGCUAAAAGGACUUUUGAUGAAAUCAC